GUAGCUAACGCGUUAAGCACUCCGCCUGGGGACUACGGUCGCAAGACUAAAACUCAAAGGAAUUGACGGGACCCGCACAAGCGGUGGAGCAUGUGGUUUAAUUCGAUGCAACGCGAAAAACCUUACCACUCCUUGACAUGGAGAUUAGAUCCUUCUUAACGGAAGGGCGCAGUUCGGCUGGAUCUCGCACAGGUGCUGCAUGGCUGUCGUCAGCUCGUGUCGUGAGAUGUUGGGUUAAGUCCCGCAACGAGCGUAACCCUCAUCCUUAGUUGCCAGCGGGUUAAGCCGGGCACUUUAAGGAAACUGCCAGUGGUAAACUGGAGGAAGGUGGGGAUGAUGUCAAGUCAGCACGGCCCUUAUGGGGUGGGCUACACACGUGCUACAAUGGUGACUACAAUAGGUUGCAAUGUCGCAAGGCUGAGCUAAUCCGUAAAAGUCAUCUCAGUUCGGAUUGUCCUCUGCAACUCGAGGGCAUGAAGUCGGAAUCGCUAGUAAUCGUGGAUCAGCAUGCCACGGUGAAUACGUUCUCGGGUCUUGUACACACUGCCCGUCACGCCAUGGGAAUUGGCUUAACUCGAAGCUGGUGCGCUAACCGAAAGGAACAAGCAGCCAA
rnacentral:rRNA from 1 species